UGGCUCAGACGGUAAAGCGUCUGUCUCCAAUGCAGGAGACCCGGGUUCGAUCCCUGG
rnacentral:tRNA from 1 species